CGGAGCACCCCUGAAGGAGUUUUCGGACCUUUUAAAGGAAUGCUUAGUGGCGGACUGGUGAGUAACGCGUGAGGAACCUGCCUUUCAGAGGGGGACAACAGUUUUCCAAAACUGCUAAUACCGCAUGAUGUAUCGGAAUCGCAUGGUACUGAUACCAAAGAUUUAUCGCUGAAAGAUGGCCUCGCGUCUGAUUAGCUAGUUGGUGAGGUAACGGCCCACCAAGGCGACGAUCAGUAGCCGGACUGAGAGGUUGACCGGCCACAUUGGGACUGAGAUACGGCCCAGACUCCUACGGGAGGCAGCAGUGGGGAAUAUUGGGCAAUGGACGCUUUUUUGACCCAGCAACGCCGCGUGAAGGAAGAAGGCUUUCGGGUUGUAAACUUCUUUUUUUUUUUAACACCCCAACACGGUACCCCUUGAAUAAUCCACGGCUAACUACGUGCCAGCAGCCGCGGUAAUACGUAGGUGGCAAGCGUUGUCCGGAUUUACUGGGUGUAAAGGGCGUGCAGCCGGGAAGACAAGUCAGAUGUGAAAUCCCGCGGCUCAACCGCGGAACUGCAUUUGAAACUGUUUUUCUUGAGUAUCGGAGAGGUAAUCGGAAUUCCUAGUGUAGCGGUGAAAUGCGUAGAUAUUAGGAAGAACACCAGUGGCGAAGGCGGAUUACUGGACGACAACUGACGGUGAGGCGCGAAAGCGUGG
rnacentral:rRNA from 1 species